rnacentral:lncRNA from 1 species
GGUCUUGUUGGUUUGAGUAUAAAAUGGAAUACCUAUACUUGCGGAUUCUCUUUUGGAUUAACUCCAAGGAUUGUGUAUAUAAACUAUUUCGUUUCUAAUGAUACAUUCUAAUCGAUAAUACAGAUGCCAAACGAUAUGGUCGGGAUGGGGAUGCAACAUCCUGUGAUCACUAAUCUAGUGCUCAAAGUGCCCUGAACACUCCAUGUUAGCCAAAAAUGAAUCGGAUUGUAGAAUAGAUCUUAACUUCUCAUAUUUUUCUGCUUUCUGGUCUUAGUGCUUUCUUUCUUAUUGGAUCUAAAUGACUUGCACACUCCAAAGCCCA